CGAGGCUCGUCUCUGUGAUUUGCUUGUCAAGAAAUUAUGCAUAGGUUACUUCACUACUGCUCUCGGCUAGCUUGACGUUGUGGCAGAAUAUCAGUUUCCCCUUUGCACAUCCGCUCAUGUAGGUUUAGUAGUACAUGUCUAUUCAUUUAGGUGUUUCCGCUUGCACGUUUCCAGAUCCAGAGCUUACAAGUCUAUCAAUUUAGAUGUUCAGCGUGCCCGUUAUGUCCAGAUCUAGAACUUAAAAGUAGCAUUUUCACAUACAAGAUCUAGUGGGUAAAUCUUUUAAGUUCAAGUUCAGAAUUAAAGACAGAUAUAUGGCUACUAUGAUGCAGGUUGUCCAUGCUAACAGUGGCGGAGCUUGAAAGAAAUCUUAGGAGGGGCGAAGGUAAAACAAAAAAUCAAAUACAAAUACACGUAUAAGGGAUGCAAGUGGAGGCAUCUGCAUGUCCGCGAAGCAAAAAUUGCAUUAAUCUUUGUUAGUUUAACAACCCUCUUAGAUUAUUUUUUCUGUUCGCGGUCACUCACGGAUAUGCGGACGCCAUCCACUUAAACAAGUUUGAUUUUGCAGAAUACUGAGAACAUAGAUAAUUACAUUGAUCCUAUCCACAUUACCUUACAAAAUACAUUUCUAACAUUAAUUAUAUAUAAGCUACUUGGUAACAAAUGAAACUGAACCAAAAUACUAAAUAAAUAUGUAGUAUUGAGUUAAUCACUAAGGAUCAGCUCUUUGUUUCUUCCCGCUCCUAAAUUGCAUAAGAAAUUGUUGACUGUGAUUUUACUCUCCGUGCUUAACAUAAGCUACUGGAUAAAAAAUCAUCUUCCAACAUAUUACGUAGCAUUGUCUUAAUAAUCUUCGAAGUAGAAAACACAAGCUUGGCACUUCAGUAUAGCAGGAUUAAAUUCCCAGUGGGGAGAGUGAGGCUAGACUGCUCUUGCUGCUCAUAGCCUCACUUGUACAUGACACCGGCAGUGGCCUGAUGCCUAAGCACGACCGCGACUAGACGAGCCCAGGAGCUCUAACCACCAGCCUCUGGCAUCUGGCCCCAACGCUAGUAAGCUCCAGUGGCCUGUGUUCUGGCUCCCCGACCCCAUGCUCACGCGUCACCGGUCGCAAAGUCCGCGCUAGACAAAAGAGUAGAAGGCGCGCUACAGUAUUGUUUCGCUGCUUGUUUGUCUCCUAUGCAGAGCGUGAGAAGGAUGUGAUAACUGUGCCUUAUGGGUUGUAGUGUGCAGUACUACUACCUGGUACUAUUUUUUUUCAUUUUCGCUGGGAGGCAACCGCCCAGGUUCGCCCCUGUGAAGCUCUGCCGUUGCAUGCUAGUACUCUGGAUACUAUGUCAACUAGAUUUUUGCUUGUUUGUGUGGGCAAAGCAACCAAAGUUGUUGAUAGGUAUUCUAUAUCCUAUCUUUUCAGGGAAAUCGCGAUGGUUACUGGAACAAUCUUCCUUCUAAUGAUCCCAUUUUGUUAACUUAAAACAUAUUUUUUAACUUAAAACAUAUUUCCUGACUGAAUGUUUUUGUGAUUUAAAGGUACCGAUGAAUGUUUAAAGGCUACAUUGGUGUUUCUAGCUUGGAGAAGCAACAUCAACUUGGGAUACAGAUUCACCAGCAUAUGUACAUGCAUCUCAUAGGGGAAGAGCUCUUGCAUGGAUGUAAGACCAUUUUGCUUCAGCCAGUUAUAGAUUUUAGAGUGAUGAUUUGCUUAAAUUCGUUUCCAUUCAUAAAAUCAACAUCCAAUGAAAUAUGAGAAAAUUAUUUUACCUCUAUUAUUGUAAUUGGGAGCUAUGAAAACCACAUCAAUAGAGUUAGUAUAUUUUGAUUGAUUAGUUUCUUCUGCUUUUUCUGCGGCUCAAAUUCAGCUGAAGCUUUACAGAACUAGGGGAACACUAAUCCAUAGAGCUAUCCUUUCCUUUGCUUCAUUUUUCCUGUAGAACAGAGUAAGCAUGAUCUGAGUAGUGGGUACACAACACAUCACUUAACUGGACAUGUAUGUUUUCACAACCGGGACCUUGUCUUGCAGAUCCUUGAAAAGAGCCAAGAACCACUAAAUUUGUGUGCUUAGCAACAUGCAGAUCAUGUAACUUUUCUGAAAUUAACUUCGGAUUAUACAAACUUUGUAUGUUCCUGCAAUUCUGAUGUUCAAAUGCCUGCUUUUGCGAUGAGCAAAGCUUUAUGUGUGGUGGUAUGUAUGGUUCUGCUGCUUCGGUGCGAAGCAUGAUCAUAUUAUUGCCAGGGCUAUGUGUGCUGUGGGGAGGGAUUACAUUCUCUUGUCCUGUCCAUAUUGUGCACAUUGUAAUUAUGCUUCCAAAAUUCUACCAGAAUACCCGCCUUAUAACUAUGUGCUAAACUGCUUGUCAUCAUAAUUUCAGGACCAUAAUGUCACUCUGGAUGCUUCUCCACAAGAUUUGAUUCUGGAGCCUGACGCUGGUGUUGCAGGGAUGUUUGGAUUUUUAUUGAUAAUGCAUCUGGAACUACCUCAGCUUGUCACUCCUCGGAAGCCAACCUCUUGAUAGUUAAUGAUGUCGGGUGCAUGUAUAGAUAGCAUGCUGUAACAAGUUUAUUUGAUACUCGGCGUGACCAACAAUGCUUGUACAUGUUGGUCACAGUGUUCUAGUUGCAACGACUAACUUGUCAUAGCUUAUUUUUUGAAUUUGGCCUUUAGUUGACUACAUAUCUGAUGUAUGUGUUCAUUGAUUAUGAAUCUGAUGUGGUGUAUGAUGAAUUUUGGAUGUGAUUUACAAAUUCAAAAUUUUGCUCUGAUUUAAUUAUUUGAAUUAUGGUUGAUAUGAAUUUAUAUUCAAAUUUCAUAUUUGUACAGG
rnacentral:lncRNA from 1 species